UUCAUUGUUAUAAUGGAAAGGGGAUAGAGAAUUAAAGAGCUCUGCUUACUGUCAUGAUGGAUUAUAUGCACGCAGCAGAAGAGGAAAGAAGUACCGCUGACAGGAAGACCUAGGGUCUUUUUUAGCCAGAGGUCUCUAUAGACAUGCCAUCAAUAGUAAUGGCAACCGCAGUGUAUCAUCGUGACGAUGUGCUUAAUCAGGGCUCAGGUGUUGAGGAUGUAGACUUGGGAGAGCCCCUUGUUGGUGUGCUUAAGGCAUCCUGGUUUCAGUCAGGUCAGGUCCCCUCACCUAAUACUGGCCUGAGGCCCAAGACCAAGAUACAAGGACUGAGGCUGUCUGAAGAACCAUGCAUGAUCAUUUAUGCUGAAAAGAAAAGAAAUUAGAAGCUUUUGUUGCACAGGUAAGAAAAGAUAAAUUUCUGAAAACCAAAAUGUCCUACCAGGUCUAUCCAUAUUUGUUUUAUUAAUGGGUAAUGCUUUCUAUUAGCUAAUGAAAAGAUGAUGGUAGUUUAACAGUGGAAUAACUUUUAAUAUAUCAUAAUCAGAGAAUACAAGGUAAGCAUAAAAUAUGGUUUUCUUUUGAAAGUAUGUGGAAAUCAAAUUGCUAAGAUCAAUGCAACCAUUUAACUGAGUUUCAUUUUGACAAAAGGCAAUCUGUGGCGAUAUUGCUUUAGAAGUAAGAUGAAAUGCAUAAAUUCAGAUAAAACAUUUUGCCGAUUGCCUGGCUGAAAUAACUGGUUAUUAUUAUUGUUAUUACCAUUAGAAGACAAAAAAAUGGUCUCCCAGUUUUCAGCAUAUGCUACUCUUAAGUAGAAGGACCUUUAACAAAAGCUAAGUGUCCAGGCCUUGGUUUACUCAUCAAAGCAAAUGACCACAUCAGAUGUUCCCUGGGAGCCUUCUGACAUUUAGCAUUUGGUGAUUUUAUCAUCUCACUCCAAGUAAAGGAAGCAGCAAAACCUCUCUGAUUGUAUUUUGAGGUCUCUGCAUAAAUAACUGUAAAGCAUAUUUGACCACAUUAUGAGAAAAUUUGUAAAAUAAAUUUUAUUUGGAAUGCCUACUUGAACUGGAAAUUAACAAUUAGAGGACAUGACUUCCCUGAUGUUUACCUCAUUAGAAAAUGUCUUGGACAAAACGCUGGCAAAAAUCUUCUCUUGAAAACAAUCCUUUAUUAUUUAAAAGGUGGAAUUUAUGCCCCCCAAAUUUAUCUUUCUAAUGAUAUUUAACCCAUUUUGCAUAGCUCGUGUUUUCUUUUGUCCAAUGUUUAAACUAGCUUUUAUUUUUUUAAUGAUUAGAAGCUUGAACAUGUAAAAAAAAAAACAUUAAUGACUUUCAUAGCAUGAACCAGGAAAACAUUUAAAAUCUGUUAAACCUAGUAAUAAUUAUUUCAAAAUGUUGCCUACUAAUGAUGACUUACUAAUUAUCACUUUGUUGUCUUAGUAACUACCUACCCUUGCUGAAGAGUUGACAGAUUUUCAAAUCUACAGAUUGUGACAUAUAAGAAUGUGUGAAACCUGGUGGGUGAGCCAUCUUAGGCCUCAGUUUCUCCAUGUGAAAUGGGAGGAACUGGGCUGAACGAGAUCUAGGUUGUCCUUCCAUUCUGAGUGUGUUCUCUCAAGAUAAUGCUUGUGUUAAUAAGGACUGCAGGGCUCAGUCAGUCAAUGGGUUAUGUUCCUUAAACCUUAUCCAAAACAUCCCGGGUGUUAUGUGUUUCAAAAUUCAGAUUUUUUACAUUUCUUUUGGAUUUUAUAAUGGUAAUACAUUACAAAACAGUAUAUUAUAUAAUCCCCCCAGCAAGGUAUGGGGCAGCUCCAUGUAAUUAAGCUCAUUAUGGAUUCUGUGGCCACUGGUAUGAAAUUGAGGGCGGUGACAAUCAGGGACUCUAAAUAGGUUGUCAUUAGCUCAGGUCAGUUACUGUGGCUAAACACAUUACGGACAAUCUUUUUUUCUUUUUUUUCCUAUUUGUUUUUACUGCAUUUUGGAUUUCAGAAUGGUGGAUAAAGAUUGCGAAUUUGCACAGCUAUAAAGCUUACUAAUUAAAGACUACAAACACAAAGAGAGCAAGCCUUGUGAUGACUGCACAAUAACGAGGAUUCAGAUACAACGUGGUCGCCACCUGACGCCCACCUCCACAAAAAGCCAUUCUCAAAAGGAGAGAGACAUUCAUAUCCAGAAGAGGGAGUCGGCUGUAGGGUAGAGAUUUAGUGCAUGAAGAUACUGAGUUUAAAAUGAAGGCUGUAUACAUAGCCCCUAAAUUCAUAAUAUCAUUUUGCAUUUUUAUGAAGAUGUUCGUCUGAAGAUUUCAAAGCCCACUGCUGAUUUAAGGUCAUUCACAUUCAGCCAUGAAGCUGCUCUGAAGACACAGGAACUGCAUAGCUCCCUACUGGGAAUGUCAAGGGCUGUGAAAGGUCUAAGGUUUUAUCCUACUUGCAACCAACAAGCUAUGCAGCCACAGUUUUAUGGAUGCUGUCAAAAGACAUGACACUCCUGGCAUGCAGUUUAGGCUGCUAACAACAGCAUGAGGGCAACCUGCUGUGGUGACCUAAGCUAUGACACCCCACCCCAAGUCCGGGAUGCAGCUAACUGAGCAAACUGCAUGAACUGGGAGGCGGCCGACCAUUGUUCACGCCUCUCCUUCGCGUAUGUGUUUUCUACUGUUCUUGCACUGUAAAGGCAGAGGUUGCAUCGGGCCCUUAUGCAAAGCCCCAAAUAAUUACUGGCUGACUCUUCUCAGGGAACAUUUGCUAACCCUGUCACAAGCCAUAAGGUUCCACCACAGAUUGCCCUGUGGCUCUCUCGUUACGUUUCUGUGUGGACGUUUCCACAUGGUCUGAGGCAUUCAUCCAAGAAGAGCAGGAUGUAUUAGUGACUGCACAGAUUCUGCCUUGGCCCACAAAGAGGACAUCCAGGGCAGUCCUGGUCAUCUGUAAUAACAUUGCCCAGUGAGUUGAGGCUGACCUGAGUACUGACUUGGGUUGAGUUGGUGUCACUGAUCACUUCAGCCAAAGAUGGGACAUUUCUUAGCACCUGUUCUGAUUGGCUGACUUCUAUGGUCAGGAUAACGGCUCUCAGGAUGCGUAUAACUGCCAAGUCUCUCCGGGAAGCUUCCCUGGGUUACCAAGGAAUCCUCAUGUCUGAGAGAGCUCCACCAUCAUCCAAGGGCCACACGGAGUUUCUUGCAAUGCUUCAAGGUCUCCUGUAAUAACUCCUAUGAUAGAAGUCACUGUGUUUUGGGGAGGUAGACUGCAGCAUGCAGUUUUGACAGCAUGACCAAGGUCAUUGUUCAGGUCUGAUUAUUCAAAUUCAAAAAACUGCAACCUCAGGCAUAAAAGAUUAAGGAUGGAGCCCAAGUCUCUGGGUCCCCAAGGGGGACUGAAGCACAUACUCACCCAUCUGAAUAUGCUGGAGAACAGGAAGGAGAGACUCAAGCUUGUCUGGGUCUGUUGGAUACAGACUCUCCCAUCUCCACCCCAUCAGGUCCUAUGGAGGCCCAAGUUCAGCUGAUGAAGUUAAGGGAGUGCUCAGUGCAGAAGGGUGGGAGGGCACUUGGGGCAUUUUGGGGUCCUGUUUUUGUUGCUUCUGCAUCUGAUACAGCAGGAAUUGAAGUAUUGCACACUUGUCCUUCCCAUUUCCAAGUGCUGCCUUCCCAUCAGUAAGAGCCACAGUUAGAGAGGGACCAACAGGAGGAUAACUCCCACAUGCUUAGCAUUCCAAUAAUGGAACACUAGGCAUAAAUUGAUAAGAUGCUUUCAAUGCAAUCAGUACUCUGCCAGGAUUCACUAAGUAGAGAAUGACUAAAUAUUUACCCAUCUCCUAACAAAAAUGCACAACUGAGGACAGAUGUUUUGCACUUUUAUGUGUCUACGGACUGUGUAAGAGGAUUUGGCUGGGUCAUCAUCUUCUUCUUCUUCUUAGACUGGUUGAUGGUGACCGUUCAUUGAUCCAAUAUGGUAAAGUCAUGUCCUGGUCUGUGUUCUUCGGGGUCCACAACCCUCUUUAACAGCCUGUUGUAAGGUUCUCGACCACGUCACUGUCUAGCUAAACCAUUCUGCAUUUCAGUAGGUAAACCAGCAGGAGGGCUUAAAAACCACAUUGCCCUGUCCACAUCCCUAUUUCUGAUUCUUUUCUGGCCUGCGAUCCUACAUCUCUAUCCUCACUUUAAACUGUUUUCCUCUUUUCUUCUCCUUUUUCCUGACCUCCUUUAUGUUUUUCAUUUCUCCUCCAUCUGAAUAUACCAAACCAUCCUUUUGCUUCCUCUUUUCUCUUCAUUAAUUAUUCUAGGGGCUAUUUUUUUUAUUAGGAAGAUGUAUUAUUUUAACAUGCUUUAUAAAGUUAGUGGCAUUAAGGAAUUAAUGUCCUUGGAAACUCAUACAUGUUCAGCUUCUAGAAACCCCUGAUUCCAAGGAGCAAAAACAUGCCAUCUCUGACAGUGUCCACAAGAACAAUACCAGAUCAGACGAUAAAGCCAACACACAGCAUAGCCAAUGGCCACACAUCCAGAAAACACUCUCAACAAAUUUAACCCUUCAGUAUUCACUGUAGCCAAUAUAUAUUCAAUAUAUAUAGCUGACUUUGUUUUUAUAUUUGAUGAAGUCCUGCUAUUUGAAAUAAAAUAAUCAAACCAACAACAACAACAACAAAAACCCCAUACAUGGUGAUAGCAUAUGUGAGGCAGUAGCAAUUUCUCCAUCUUUUCUGUCCUGUCUUUCCUGUUCUUCGUUCCCAUGCUAAGAAGGGAUGGAUAUAUCUCGGAGAUUACACAGGUUCUAGUCAAAGACUUCAUUGUGAACGUUUGUUUCACAUUUUCCCUGGAUAAGGACUAAUUAAAAGUUUGGAAAAGUAUACCUUUUUUUUUUUUUUUUUUUGCAAACUUACCCAUAUUAUGUGCUUUUUCUUGAUACAGCUGCUAAUCUUUGCUGUAUAUGUAGUGUUAGGAAGUCUACUUUAAUACACACACACACGUUUAAUGAGGUAAAAUAUGCAUAACAUAAUUACCAUUUUAACAAUUUUUAAGUGUAGAGUUCAGGGGCAAGUACGUUCAUGUUCUUGUGCAACUAUCACCACCAUUUUUUCUCCAGAACCCUUUUUAUCAUCUCAAACUGAAACUCUGCACCCACUGAACAAUAACUCCCCGUUCUCUCCUCCUCCUAGACCCUGGUAACCCCUCAUCUAUUUUCUGUCUCUGUGUAUUUGACUAUUCUAGGUACCACAUUAACGUGGACUUACACAGUAUUCGUCCUUUUGUGACUGGCUUAGUUUAUUUAGCAUAAGAUCCCCAAGGUUCAGCCGGGUGCCGUGGCUCAUGCCUGAAAUCCAAGCACUUUGGGAGGCCAAGGUGGGUGGAUCACCUGAGGUCAGGAGAUUGAGACCAGCCUGGCCAACACGGUGAAACCUCAUCUCUACUAAAAUACAAAAAUUAGCUGGGCCUGGUGGCGGGCGCCUGUAAUCCUAGCUACUAGGUAGGCUGAGGCAGGAGAUUAGCUUGAACCUGGGAGGCGGAGGUUGCAGUGAGCAGAGAUGGGACCACUCCACUCCAGCUUGGGCAACAGAGCAAGACCCUGUCUCAAAAAAAAAAAAUUCAAGGUUCAUCCAUGCUGUGGCAUGUGUCAUAAUUUCAUUUCUUCAUAUUCCUGAAAUACAUUUCUAAAUAUAAAUUUUUCAUUACUGUUUUCAUUUCAAGUUAAGUUUAUCAGAUCCUGUAGUCCAGGGACUUCAGUCUCUUUGAAUUAUGUCUUUCUUGGACAAUUUGGGAGCUCUUUUGAGAAACUGAAUACAAUUUGAAUACACUAAAAUCUGAAUCACACCAUAGAUAACGACAUAGUGUCUUAGUGAGAAGAAAUUUGAUUCUGCUGACUAGGAUACUAAAGUUUGACCUUUAUGGUCAUCUCUUAAUAAAAUAAAAGGAGAGCACUGGGCUAUUAAAUAGUUUAUUCAUGGAUCAUAGGGUGAAUAAGACCUAGAUCCUAGAGGAAAUCCUCCCCACAAAGACACUCAGACUUUUAUUCCUGUCAAUGUUCUUGUGGAUUUCAGGGAGCAAUGAUGGCUAUAAAUCUGCAACUCAUAGCAUUUCAGGCUAAACACAUUCAGCCUUUAUUACCAUUGUUCAUUUGACCUCUUUAUCCAAUUUUUUUCCCACCCACUUGCCAAUAUCACCUUGUUCUUAUGUAGGCUGUGUUUCAGCCAGCUUAAGCCUUACUAACAAAUGAGGUGAAAUCCAUCUGAGGAGGAAGCCGGGGCAUGGUGGAUUGAAAUAGCUUGCCUCAGGAGCAGAAAAUUUGGUGUGGAUCAAGAAAUAGAACUCCAAAGUAUACCUUUCCAGUCAUUGGCUUUAGCUGGAGCCAGCAUCCUUCAAUGAAUCAGUCAACAUUUACCUAUCUGUUCCCCACAGCAGUUUUGCAAAUCGCUUUCAGAAAUCAUUGAACCACUAACAGUUUAUCCACUCUGCAAAAUAUACACAGCUCUUCCCAUAUCCAGGAGGGUUAUCCCUUCUCAGCUGCGUUCAACACUUUUUACAACCCCUGAUUUCAAUAAGCAGAAUACAUCCACCUGCUUAGGGAAAUUACUCUUACCAUAUAAUUGCCUCUUAUGUUGAAAUGUCCAUGAGACCCUCUCAUGAAAUAGGGGACAAGAUAAAGCACAGAUUUUCCCCCAACUCAAACAUGCCUGUCUCAUACAUGUCAUGCCCUUGGAAAUGGCCAACACUGCUCUCUGCCUCCUGUUUAGGGUUAAGGCUUUCACUAUCUCUUGCCACCUCUGAUGAAAUUACUAACAAAUAUAUUAUCCUUACCCUUUGUCUUCUAUUCCAGCACUUCAAAUGCAUCAAAGGUCCAGAGAGAAGCUUCUUCUGGUCACCUUGAUCUUGUGAUGCAAGGCAGGUGGGAGCAAGGGCUCCACCUCUGCAGACACAGAGAUGACGGGGUCGCCAUGCCGGCGUUUUAGUCCCGGUUUCCUCUGCUCGAGUAGUUGGUGGCCUCCUGCCUGUUCCCUAACAUAACUUCACUUUCCUUACCUGCAAAACGAAAUUAGUAUUUCCUCCCUCACAAGGUGCUUGAUGCCCUUCCCCUUGCGUUUACUUUGCCUGAGAGACUAUAUCAUAUCUAUGAUUUUGUGAAUGGGGCAAAAGGAAUUGAGAGUGUCAGGGUAUACCUUAUAAAUAAGCCACUAAAGGUUACAUCCUCAUUCCACAAACUGACCUAAACAAUUUGGCUGUCACUAAUAGAUUAUUUUGGUCAGUUAUGGCAUUUAGAGGGAGAAGAGAGAGUAUAUAUAUAUGGGUGGGGUGUGUGUGUAUGCGUGUGUAUGUGUGUGUUUACAGUCAAAAUACCAAAAUAUAUCUAUGUAUAUAAAUAUAUUUGCUUUCUUUGUGUUAUUUGCAACUUACCUGGCUAAGCUGAACUCCAGAAUUUGGACUAGAGGCUUCAGGAUGCUGGUGCAGUUCAAGUCUGGUCCACAUGUCUCCUCCUCCUUCGAGGGUCAUUGACUACUUUGUGUAUCUUCUUUUCAUGACAGUUCAUAUGAGUGCAAGAUGGCUCGAUAGACUUGCACACAAGUUUAAAGAUUUUUGUAUACACCUCAUUCCAUUGUUAAAGCAAGUUGCAUGGUCAAAUCUAACAUCUCUGGACAAGGACAUGCAUUCAUACCACUCUACUGCACUGCAAGCUCACGCAGAGGAGCAGAUCAUAAAACGUGAUUGAUGCAUGAUGAUGAUAAUGACCAACCUACCAUCAUGGACAUGACCGUAUGUUGAUACUAAGCCUCUUAGUAAAAUGAGCUAAAGAAACCAGAACUAUCUGCCUUCAGCUCAGCUGUCUGAUCAAAAACUUGAAAUCUGGAAACAGUGGUAUCUGGAAAACCUACUAAAAGUGGCUUUGGGAAAAUAUCAAUUAAUGUCAAUUUCAUUAAUUAUUCAGGGAAAUCCAAUCCAGUAAGCUAAAAUAUGAACAUAUGUGAACAUGUCAAUAAGAUUAUCUUUACUUUUUGAGUUCCUUUUCAGGAUUUAGAAUAAUUUUGUUAAAGGGGGACGUGAAAUAAUUAUAAUUUUAAUUUAUUUGAAAAGACAUAUAAUUGUAUUUUAGGCACUGUAAUUAAGUUCACUAUUUU
rnacentral:lncRNA from 1 species